AGCAAAGGAAGAAUGUGAAUAUAACUCUUUAUUUUCUUUAUUAUAUAUUUGUAUUUGUAUAUAUUUAUAUUUGUGUGAUAGUACUAUUCAAAAAGAAAUGAUUUUUUGUCUGAUCUCUGCCUUCCAUUUAGCUAUAUAAAUCCAUUCCUCCGCUAACAGAUCCAUGAGAUGCUUGGAUGAGUUUGCUAUAGCUAGUGAUAUGCUAGAAGCUCUCUCUUCAGUCCUCUCCUCUCCUUCCACCGUUGACCCUUUCUGUGAGUGACCCUCUUUUGAACAGUCGCUUUCUUCAACCUUCUCUCUCUUUCUCCUAAACCUUCAAAUAUGGUGGUCCAUCUCAGCAUCUAUCAGUGUAAUCUUUGUGAGUUGCUGUAUGGGAGGGGAGGGAGGUUUCAGAGGGUUACAUGGCAUAGAUCUGCAUAAGAAUAUUACACAUUAGCUAGGCAUUUACAUACAAAUCUUUGUCAAUUUUGUAUUUGAGAUCUUCAUUAUUAUUAUUAUUAUUAUUAUUAUUAUUAUUAUUAUUAUUUUUGUGUUGCAGUAGUAGUGAUUGAUGAGCACUUAAGAGAGCUUUCUUCAGUCCACUCAUGGGUGGCAAUAGGAUUUAAUUAGCUGCCGACUCAUUCAUCCAAAUACUGAGUUAAGGGCUAGCUGACGAGGUUACCCAGUAAAUGAGUGAAUGAUGCGGGAGACAAAUUGAAUCUUAAGCUUCCUGUACUUGGACUGAAGGGAGCUCCCUUUACUGUUAUUUAACCCAAUAAUAUAUAUAUUUUAUAUAUCUUUCUUAGAUUCUUAACUUCUCUAUAUAGUUAUGCUCACAAUUAUAUAUUCUUAUGGCUGCCAAUGCUGUUGGUAUAAAGCACUUUGUUGCUCAUGAGGUAAUGCUAGAGAACCCUCAACUUGUCCGUUUUCUUUGAGUGAUCUUUAUCCUGUUUGUCUUGAACUUUUCUUUAAGCUUUAUUUUCUUGCUCUGUGACCAAGGAGAGCUGUAUAUCUGGCUUAUCAUUUCCAGGGUAUUCUUGAUGCCUUUUUCUUACUGUUUUUCCCUUCUCUGGUAUCUCUUGUUGCCUUAAAACAGUCAUUUUGCAGAGUGGCAACAAAUAGUGAUCUAACAAGGGUUUGGUUUUAGGGUUUGUAUCAAGCUGUAGGCGGUUCUUGUAAAAGCUACCCUUAAAAGGCAACCGCAUGAGGGAGAUGAGCUUACAAGCUCAUCACGCUACUCGACACUAGUUUCUUGGGUCUUGCUUUCUAACAGGCAGCAACAAGUUCCUAGACGGGCUAGAGACAUGUCUCCCAGAGGUUCAAUUACCGAAAUAUCCUCAAACUGAGUUUCGAGCAGUGGUUCAAGCAGGAUAUUUUAUUUAAUUUGUAGCAAUUAGAAGAACUUUCUCUUCAUUCCUAGUUUCCUUCUGUUCUGCUUUGUUUACUGGUUUUAACUCAUUUAAUUAUGAGUAGAGACUACAAAUUUUUUUUUUUUUUUUGGGUUAAGGAAAGCUUCUCUUGAACUUCUUCUUCACUUAAGCACUGUAUUUAUACAUUCUACAGAUUGGAACUGUAUAUCAUAUAUGCUGUCAUUUUCUUUAUGUGAACUCCAUAGAUGGGGUUUGUUUUCUGUUCUUUUAGACAAAA